rnacentral:rRNA from 1 species
UGGGGAAUUUUGGACAAUGGGGGCAACCCUGAUCCAGCCAUGCCGCGUGAGUGAAGAAGGCCUUCGGGUUGUAAAGCUCUUUCGGCGGGGACGAAAUGGUCCGUGACAACACCACGGACUGAUGACGGUACUCGCAUAAGAAGCACCGGCUAACUACGUGCCAGCAGCCGCGGUAAUACGUAGGGUGCAGGCGUUAAUCGGAAUUACUGGGCGUAAAGCGUGCGCAGGCGGCUCCUUAAGUCAGAUGUGAAAUCCCCGGGCUUAACCUGGGAACUGCGUUUGAAACUGGGGAGCUAGAGUGUGGAAGAGGGGGGUGGAAUUCCAGGUGUAGCAGUGAAAUGCGUAGAUAUCUGGAGGAACACCGAUGGCGAAGGCAGCCCCCUGGGCUAACACUGACGCUGAGACGCGAAAGCGUGGGGAGCAAACAGGAUUAGAUACCCCCGUAGUCCCUGAG